GACGAACGCUGGCGGCGUGCUUAACACAUGCAAGUCGAACGGAAAGGCCCUGCUUUUGUGGGGUGCUCGAGUGGCGAACGGGUGAGUAACACGUGAGUAACCUGCCCUUGACUUUGGGAUAACUUCAGGAAACUGGGGCUAAUACCGGAUAGGAGCUCCUGCUGCAUGGUGGGGGUUGGAAAGUUUCGGCGGUUGGGGAUGGACUCGCGGCUUAUCAGCUUGUUGGUGGGGUAGUGGCUUACCAAGGCUUUGACGGGUAGCCGGCCUGGGAGGGUGACCGGCCAAAUGGGAGCUGAAAUACGGCCCGAACCCCUACGGGGGGAAGGAGGGGGGAAUUUUGCAAAAGGGGGGGAAGCCGGGUGAAGGAACGCCGGGGGGGGGAAGACGGCCUUCGGGUGUGAAACCGCUUUCGCCUGUGACGAAGCGGGGGUGAGGGAAAUGGGUAAAGAAGCACCGGCUAACUACGU
rnacentral:rRNA from 1 species